rnacentral:lncRNA from 1 species
GUGGCAUAUGAGGGUCCCAGGGGUUGAAUCUGAGCUGUAGCCCCUGGCCUACGCCACAGCACAGCAAUGCCAGAUCCAAGCCACUUCUGCAACCUACACCACAGUUCACGGCAAGGCGGGAUCCUUAACCCAUUGAUCAAGGCCAGGGAUGGAACAUCUCUGAAACUGGCUAUUUCCCCAAGGAUCCCUGGUUCCCUUUAAUGGGAAGCGGUACUUAGAUAAGUCCACAUGAUGGGUUUGCAUUUUUCUAGGUUGUUUGUAUUUCUAGGCCUUUUCAUGUGAUAGAUUUAGGAAAUACAUUAAGAACUAAGUACAGGAGUUCCCCGUUGUGGUUCAGAGGAAAUGAACCUGACUAGUAUCUGAAGAUGUGUGUUUGAUCCCUGGACUCGCUCAUUGGGUGUUAUAGGUGAGGUUGCACUAUAGGAAUAAAAAAAAUCAUGAAUAAAAGUGGAAAAGAUUUUGUACUAAAAACCUCAUGGAGCCCUCAACAAAUUACCAUAACCAUCUUGUAAUGACUAUAUUGAUAAAACGUUAGUAGAAUGGUUAAACAUAAGCGUUGGAGUUCAUCUUCCACCUGUUCAUUCAGCCUCAUUGUUUUGAUGUCUUGUGAGAUGGUGGUGAGCAGAAACCAGGGAACACAUUAGUUCUUGGAGUGGUUAGAGAGUACUCAGAACCUGAUGUAUGUACAAUAUGAGCAGUUAAUGAACAUGCUUCCUAAACAUAAGAAAACCAAGAAUUUGUGAUUGGGAAUCACCUUUUGUAAUUGAUUUUGGCAGUUAAGGGUUUUUCUUUUUUUGUUUGUUUUGUUUUUGCUUUUGGUUCUAAAGGCAAAAUGGCUCUUGGCUUAGAAACUGGAUAAUAAAUAUAAACCCAUGCCCCUAUUUUGAAGGGUUUUGAUAUUUGUUAAGAAAAAUAGAAUGAUAAUUUGUUACCCUUACCUAAAGUCAAGUUUUUUUUUUCUUUUUUACAAAAUCUCAUUUAAAAAAUGCAUGUUUAUUUUCUUUUGUUAAAUCCAGAGAAAUCAUCUAGGAUAAAACUAAGUGAAAUCUGAUUAUAUUUAGAUAGCUCAUGCUCCAAAACACCCAAGUUGUCAUUACUCAGCCCAUCCAUUUCCAUCCCCAACAUUUAUUUACCUGGAUCCUUGCACAUUAUUGGACAGUCUAGGAAUGGAGAGAGAGACAAACGUGUCAGUCUUUAGACCACUUGUGAUUUUAGACAAAUGGCUUGGAGUGUGGACCUAGAACCUUUAGAGCAACUUGGACAUCAACAACACCUGUCUAGCCUGCAAUUGGACUCUUUCAAUCAUGCCUGGCUGUCUUUUCUUUCACUUCCUUCUUUCCACCGGGUCUUUCAUGCAUAUAUCUUACUAGCUCAACAUAGGUUCUUUUUCUUUAAAUUAAUACCUGCUUUCUUUGAUUCUUCAGUUCUGAUCUGGUUUUGCCAGUUCAAGAAGUACUUUAGGAAUACUCAUUCAUUACUGUAUUCCCUUAACUUCCAGUGCUAGUCCAGGAAGGUGGUAGGUAUACAACAAGUUUUUGUAGGUGUCACAUUUCUACUUGCUGAGCUGCUUAUAUUGAGAAAACCAGUAAAACAACAAAGCUGGAUUAUAUUAUGUAAACUCAGUGGGACCAUCAGAAUGUGGAGAGUUGUAUUGGUGACUUGCAGUUACCUAGUACUGCAUAACAAAACCAUUCCCAAAACUUGAAAUAUCAACAAGAUUUAUUUUACUGACUGUGCUUAGAUAGUUCAUUUCUGCACUACUGAGCCUCACUGGAAGCAGCUUUAAAGAAUAGGGACUAGAAUCAUCUGAAUGCUCUUCAUGCACCGGUGUUCUAUGCUGGAUAAGGCUUCAGGUGAGAUAUGUCCAGAACUUUACCCAGACUUCACAGAGUGGUGGCUGGAGUCCAAGAGUUGGGCCAAGUUUUAUCCUUUUAGGACUUGCCCUGGGAAGUCAUCACUUCUGUAUUCUGUUGGUUUAAUGGGAGAGCACUCUACAUCUUCCUGGAGGAAUAAGAUUUGAGGAAGGUGAGAAGAACUGAUAUCUUUUAAGGGCUGCAAUUUAUAUAUGGAAAUUUAGUUUCAGUGGGACUUUGCAUUAUAAAUUUUAAUCAUCAUUUUUAAAAAUUCAACCAUUUAAGAUAAUAGAAAUAGGAGUUCCCAUUGUGGCUCAGAGGAAACGAAUCUGACUAGUAUCCAUGAGGAUGCAGUUUUGAUCCCUGGCCUCCCUCAGUGGGAUCUGGCAUUGCUGUGUGCUGUUGUGUAGGUCAAGCCAAGGCUUGGACCUGGGGUUGCUAUGGCUGUGGGGUAGGCCAGCAGCUAUAGCUCCGAUUUGACCCCUAGCCUGGGAACCUCCAUAUGCGGUGCUUGUGGCCCUAAAAAGACUGGGAGAAAAAAAAAAGAUAAUGGAAAGAAUACUUUAUUCUUAGAGUUAUUUGAGGAUGGUAAUUCUAUAUGUAAGGAUAGAAGUUAAAUAACAGGAGUUGCUGUGUAGCUCAGCGGAUUAAGACCCCAACAUUGGUGUCCAUGAGAAUGUGGGUUUGAUCCCUGGCCUGCCUCAAUGGGUUAAGGAUCCAGUGUUGCUGCAAGCUGUAGCAUAGGUUGCAGCUGUGGCUGCAGAUCUGGCAUUCCUGUGGCGUAGGCCAGCAGCUGCAGCUCUCAUUAAACCCCUAGCCCAGAAACAACAAUAUGCUGCAAGUACAGCCCUAAAAAGAAAAAAAAAA